UCCGAAGGGUGCAAGCGUUACUCGGAAUUACUGGGCGUAAAGCGUGCGUAGGUGGUUCGUUAAGUCUGAUGUGAAAGCCCUGGGCUCAACCUGGGAAUGGCAUUGGAUACUGGCGACCUAGAGUGCGGUAGAGGGGUGUGGAAUUCCCGGUGUAGCAGUGAAAUGCGUAGAUAUCUGGAGGAACACCGGUGGCGAAGGCGGCGUUCUGGACUGCAACUGACACUGAGGAACGAAAGCCAGGGGAGCAAACGGG
rnacentral:rRNA from 1 species